rnacentral:rRNA from 1 species
CCUACGGGGGGCUGCAGUGAGGAAUAUUGGUCAAUGGACGGAAGUCUGAACCAGCCAUGCCGCGUGCAGGAUGACGGCCCUAUGGGUUGUAAACUGCUUUUAUUCGGGAAUAAACCUCUUUACGAGUAGGGAGCUGAAGGUACCGAAUGAAUAAGCACCGGCUAACUCCGUGCCAGCAGCCGCGGUAAUACGGAGGGUGCAAGCGUUAUCCGGAAUCAUUGGGUUUAAAGGGUCCGCAGGCGGAUAUAUAAGUCAGUGGUGAAAUCCUGCAGCUU